GGCCAAGUAGCUUAAUGGUUAUAGCGUUGGUUGAACACUGAGAUGAUCCUAGUCUCGAUACAAGCCGCGUCGCUGUAGUAAUUGCUGACUGAGAGAGGAGGUAUCGUUGAACGAGUGGACAUAAACCAAAGAUGCAAGUUCGACUCUUGCCCUGGCCA
rfam:Aspergillus versicolor CBS 583.65 unplaced genomic scaffold ASPVEscaffold_3, whole genome shotgun sequence.